UGGGGAAUAUUGCACAAUGGAGGGAACUCUGAUGCAGCGACGCCGCGUGAGUGAUGAAGGAAUUCGUUUCGUAAAACUCUGUUCUAUGGGAAGAAAAGGACUGUACCAUAGGAGAAAGCUCCGGCUAAAUACGUGCCAGCAGCCGCGGUAAUACGUAUGGCGCGAGCGUUGUCCGGAAUUAUUGGGCGUAAAGGGUGCGCAGGCGGCUUUACAAGUUGGAUGUGAAAUAUUGUGGCUCAACCACAAACGUGCAUCCAAAACUGCAAAGCUUGAGUUAAGGAGAGGUAAGUGGAAUUCCUGGUGUAGCGGUGGAAUGCGUAGAUAUCAGGAGGAAUACCGGUGGCGAAGGCGACUUACUGGACAUAAACUGACGCUCAGGCACGAAAGCGUGGGGAGCAAACAGG
rnacentral:rRNA from 1 species